GCUGGCGGCGUGCCUAAUACAUGCAAGUCGAACGAGGCCCUUUGUAUUCGUACGAAGGUGUCCUAGUGGCGAACGGGUGAGUAACACGUAGGUGACCUGCCCCGAAGCGGGGGACAACUCCGGGAAACUGGAGCUAAUACCCCAUGUUCUCCAUGGUGUUAGAGAACCAUGGAGCAAAGGAGCAAUCCGCUUUGGGAGGGGCCUGCGGCCCAUCAGCUAGCUGGUAGGGUAAUGGCCUACCAAGGCUAUGACGGGUAGGGGACCUGAGAGGGUGGUCCCCCACACUGGAACUGAAACACGGACCAGACACCUACGGGUGGCAGCAGUAGGGAAUUUUGCACAAUGGGCGAAAGCCUGAUGCAGCAACGCCGCGUGCGCGAUGAAGGCCUUCGGGUUGUAAAGCGCUUUUCUGGGGGAAGAGGAAGGACGGUACCCCAGGAAUAAGUCUCGGCUAACUACGUGCCAGCAGCCGCGGUAAAACGUAGGAGGCGAGCGUUAUCCGGAUUUACUGGGCGUAAAGCGCGUGUAGGCGGUUAGGUAAGUCGGACGUGAAAGCUCCCGGCUCAACUGGGAGAGGCCGUUCGAAACUACCUGACUUGAGGGCAGUAGAGGGAGGUGGAAUUCAGGGUGUAGCGGUGAAAUGCGUAGAUAUCCUGAGGAACACCAGUGGCGAAGGCGGCCUCCUGGGCUGACCCUGACGCUCAGACGCGAAAGCUAGGGUAGCAAACGGGAUUAGACACCCCGGUAGUCCUAGCUGUAAACGAUGCAGACUUGGUGUUGGCAGUUUAAACACUGUCAGUGCCGUAGCUAACGCGAUAAGUCUGCCGCCUGGGGACUACGACCGCAAGGUUAAAACUCAAAGGAAUUGA
rnacentral:rRNA from 1 species